GGCCGCGGGAGGAGGCGGGCAGAGGCACAGCCCGGCGUGGUUCGGCUCCGCCCGGCUGGCUCCCUGCGAGUCCCCGGCCGGCUCCGAUCCGCGGGUGCAGCCGGGGCGGCCCGCGGGGCUUGCCAGACCUUCCCUGCCCCUCUCCUCGGGAAGGAGCUUCGGGCUGCUUCCCUUCGGCUCUGAGCCGGCCUGGGACUGCUCCCCCGAGGCCCGGUGCCUAAUCCCGGCUCGGUGCUGGAGGGCCCGCCCUGUAGGCCGAAAGACACCCGGGCCCCGCAAGAUCCAGCCUUUGCUCUUCCGAUGCAAAGUAUCAGGUUUCCGGGGGUCCUUAUCCGUAGGGACCGCGGAGGAAAGGCCAGUCGUUGGCCGAAGCCUCCAUCUGUGAAGCUCUGCUGCAGAGGGCCUGGGCUGAGUGCUGAGGGCCUGCUGAGCACAUCUGGGGCAUCUGCAGCUCAGUGGAUCUUGGCUCCCAGAGUAGGGGGUUUCCCCUCUACUCAACCUUGGAUGCAGAAACAACUCAGGAGCCUAAAAUCCUUCCCUCUGCUUGGAAUGAGCACAUUCCCUUCUGGAGAAAGAGAGGGAGCUGUCCCUGAUCUGAAAAGGUCUUUUUUGUGGAUCUUCUCUGCAAACAUUAACUCUGAAGGAUUUUUCUUAGAAAACUCAAACUUUGGGAAACAUUUGUGAACAAUAUUGUCCUCUCAAUCCCUUGGCCUGUAAUUCUCUGUUAAACAAAUGCUUUUCUUCUUUUCUUUCCAUUUCAGGUUGGGAGCUAGAAGUACAGUAUCUACUUUUGCCAGUAAAGUUCCUGCUCAGGGAGAGGUCAAGAUAACAUGUCUUCAAAGAUGGCUCCAUGGUCCUUAUGGGUUAUUCAAGAGUAAUCUCUUCAUGAGGUUCUGGUCCUACAAAGGAAAGAGGCUUGGAGAUCUUUUACCCUUUGGGAGUUGCUGAAGAACAGAGAGUGAGAUGGAUGGAGAAAGACCAGAAUGUAAGGGAGCAGCCAUUUGCUUUCUUCCUCUUCAUAGGGAGAGCAGUGUGAAAGUGAGGGAAAAUGCCAUGCAGAGGAUUCUGGAUCUUGAAGUGACGAUGAACUUCAAUGUACAAAGACAGUCCUGCAGGGAUUUCCACUAUCAUCAGGCUGAGGGACCUCGAUGGGUUUGUACCCAGCUCUACUACUUUUGCCGUCAGUGGUUGAACCUAGAAAAGCGCACAAAGGCCCAGAUGCUGGACCUGGUGGUCCUGGAACAGUUCCUGGCUGUCCUGCCCCUGGAAAUGAAGAAUUGGGUACGUGAGUGUGGGGCUGAGACCAGUUCCCAGGCGGUGGCCCUGGCCGAAGGCUUCCUCCUGAGCCAGGCAGAGAAGAAGCUGGCAGAGAUGCAGGCUCAGGAGCCCUUCAUGGAGGUGGCUACUGAGCACUCUAAUGGAUAUCCUCCUCAGGAGCUGGUCUUUGGGGGGAUCUCCCCGGAGAAACCAUCUCAGGACCCAUCUUCAGCAAAUGGAGCAGCAGUAAUGCCACCUGUGGAAACAUCUUUUCUUUGUGGGGGAACAGAAACUGUGGUUGUCCUUCCAAACCAGGAUCCCAUAACCUUUGAGGAUGUAGCUGUGCUUUUCUCUGAGGGGGAGUGGGCUUUGUUGAAUUUUGACCAAAAAUCUCUAUACAAGGAGGUGAUGCUGGAAAAUGCAAGGAAUGUGGUCUCCUUAGCAGGUGAUGGGCAGGAGACCGAGAAUUAUAAAAAGCAGGCUAUGGAACCUUCAAAAACAGUCGAAAGUGAAAUCAGAGGAGAGCUACUUGGAAAUCAGUGGGGACCACAAAGCCCAAAGGGAAACCAGUUAAACAGAGAGAUGGAAAAAUCCCUUACCUCUCUGUAUGCAUGCAGGGAACAUGCAAAAAGGUAUAAUUGGAACUUUCCUCUUACUUUACACGAAGACUUUGACAUUGGAGAUAAACCGUAUAAAUGCAUGGAGUGCGGAAAAAGCUUCAGCAAGAACAGUAAUCUAAAUGCCCAUAAAAGGAUCCACACAGUGGAAAAACCAUAUAAAUGCAUGGAGUGUGGAAAAAGCUUCCGCAGGAAUGAUAAUCUUAUUUCCCAUAAAAGGAUCCAUUCUGGAGAAAAACCAUAUAAAUGCAUGGAGUGUGGAAAGAGCUUCCGCAAGAACAGUCACCUUACUUCUCAUAAAACAAUUCACACUGGGUUGAAGCCAUAUAAGUGCAUGGAUUGUGGAAAGAGCUUCAGUAUGAACAGUUACCUUACUUCCCAUAAAAGGAUCCACACUGGGGAAAAGCCAUAUAAUUGCAUAGAAUGUGGAAAGAACUUCAGUGGAUUGAGUUCCUUUACCACUCAUAAAAGACUCCAUUCGGGUGAAAAACCAUAUAAAUGCAUGGAGUGCGGAAAAUGCUUCAGGGGGUUGAGUUCAUUUACUUCCCAUAAAAGGAUUCAUUCAGGGGAGAAACCAUAUAAAUGCAUGGAGUGCGGAAAGUGCUUCAGUAGGAACUAUUCCCUUACUUUUCAUAAAACAAUCCACACAGGAGAGAAACCGUAUAAAUGUAUGGAAUGUGGGAAGAGUUUCAGUAUGAACUGUUCUCUAACUUCUCAUAAAAGGGUCCACACAGGUGAAAAACCAUAUAAAUGCCUGGAAUGUGGGAAGAGAUUCUGUAUGAGCAGUAACCUUACUUCCCAUAAAAGGAUUCACAGUGGUCCAAAAACAUUGAAAUACGUAGAGCGUGGAAAAAACUUCAGUAAGAGUUUUUCCCAUAAAAAGAUACACACAGGGCAAAAAACCUAUCAGUGCAUGGAAUGUGGAAAAUGCUUCAGUAAGAGUAGUUCCCUUACUUCCCAUAAAACAAUUCACACUGGGGAGAAACCAUAUAAAUGCGUGGAAUGUGGAAAAUGCUUUACUCAGAAUAGUAAUCUUACAUCCCACAAAAGAAUUCACAGUGGGGAGAAACCCUAUAAAUGUAUAGAAUGUGGAAAGAGCUUCAGUAUGAACAGUUCCCUUACUUCCCAUAAAAGGAUCCAUACAGGAGAGAAACCAUAUAAAUGUGUGGAGUGUGGAAAGAGCUGCAGUACGAGCAGUGAUCUUACUUCCCAUAAAAGGGUACAUUCAGGAGAGAAACCCUAUAAAUGCAUGGAGUGUGGAAAGAGCUUCACUAUUAGCUCUUCCCUUACUUGCCAUAGAAGAAUCCACACCGGGGAGAAACCCUAUAAAUGCAUGGAGUGUGGAAAAAGUUUCAGUAUUAGCUAUUCUCUAACUUGCCAUAGAAGAACCCACACGGGAGAAAAACCCUAUCAAUGCAUGGAGUGUGGAAAGAGCUUCAGUAUGAGCAGUAACCUUACUUCUCAUAAAAAGAUCCACAGAAGGGGGAAGCCAUAUGAAUGUUGUUGAUGAAUUGGGGUGCCUUAGAAAUAUGAAUAAUAAAGUAAUAAGCAUGUGAUGUGGAAACUGCUUCCAUAGCAAACUUGCUUCUCAUAAAAUUAUUUGCUCAGAGGAGAAAUACCAAUACAUGGAGUAUAAGGAGAGCUUUAGUCAAAAUAGUCCAUUUUUCCUCCAUAAAAUAAUCCACUUGUUUUAGGAAGAACAGUGAUAAACUGGAAUGUGUAUAGAGGAGAGCAACCAAGAUGACAAGGGACCAGGAAGGAAACACUCAUGAGGAAUGGCUGGAGCUAUUGGGCCUGCUUAGCACUCGGAGGACUGCAGUAACAUGACAGUUGUAUUCCAAGUAUCUCAAGGCUGUCAUGUAGGAAAUGGGGUGACUUGUUCAGAGUUUUUUCAGAAGACAGAAGGCAUCUCUUAAUGAGCUGUUCAACGGAAGAGACGCAUCUUCCAUUUAAACACAGGCUGCAUGGCCAUCUGCCAGGGAUGUUGUGAUAUUGGAUUGGGUGCUGGACAAGAUGACCUCUAAGGUCCACUCCAACUCAUACAUUGUCAUUUUGUGACACUGUCCAGAAUCAAAGCAAGAUGUGGCCUCAAGGGCAACUGCAAUGGAUUUCUCAGAGUUUGUGAGAGAAAGUAAGUUUACAAAAUAUUUCAAGAUCAGAGUAUCCACACAUUGCUUUAUUAGGGAAUAAUACUUCCCCACUACAUCAACAGACAGCAAGAGGAUCAGGGAAUCUCCACCCUAAUGAACAUAGAAAUAAAUGAUAUGGUAAAGUAAAUUUAUCCAGUUGCCAAUGUUUCUGUAGCCUGGUCAUCCUUUCUCCUUUCAAUCUGGUUAUUAAGACUGAGAAUCUAGUUUUUUUAUUAUAAGCACUACUACUGGUUGGAUGCAUACAUUGGAGUAGUCAGGCAUAUGGCGCAAGACCGAACAGCAUUUUGUUCUAUUACACAUAAGGUCACCGUGAGUCGUAAAAGACUCAACCGCAACUAACAACUGGUUGGAUAGCAGUAUAUACAGGGGGCUUUACUGGAAACCAGGUAACUGAGCAGCUGAGAGGUCUGCCUGAGGCCAAUGCAUAUGCACAUGAUUCAGUAAUUAUAAUGUGGAAGAAAGCCUAGAAGGCAUAGAGUAUGGUACGGUUUUGAUUUGCUGCUAAGAAAACUACAUGGAUGUGUCCAUGUAGUCACCAUAAGUCAAACUCAGCUUGGGUGCAGCUUGAUAAAAACAGGGUUCUUUGAUCUGGGGAAUUUAGAGAUUUGUUGGGUAGUUUACUUUUGGGGUCUGGAGGGUUAGGGGAAUAGUUUUGAAGCAGUUGGCUUGGUUUGGGUGCUCCUGAGAUCAUUGUUAAUGAGUCUAGCUUGGAGACCUCCAGUGUGGGUUGCAAGUGAGAUUCUUUCAGAUCUUCCUACCAGGCCCAUAGGAUUGAUUGUGAUCUCUUCUUGCAUUCUAAGUUUCAGGUUCAGCCACUAAAGCUACAAGCCACAGAUUUUUUUAGCCCACUUCUCUUGUAUUAGACUGGCUAUGCCAAAGUGAACUCCCAAGGGUUUAAAUUUUUGUGGAAAACACAAUGAUACUUGCCAUCUGUCGGGCACCGCUGGACUACUUGCCCAGGGGUGCCAUGAAAAAUGUUACUGAGACAUUAGGGAUGCCACCAACUGAGAAAGUUUGGGGACAUCUAAGCUAUGCUAAUACUUAUGAGUAAUUCCUAAUCGUUACUGGCAUAAAACAGGACACUUCUAUAAAAUCAUGCCAUCUGAUAAGGCAAGAUUUUCUAUUUGAAGCUCCUUCCACCUUUUGAGUAUUUAUAUGGCUUUGCACCUGUGUAAUUUGAUCAGUGUUAGGACUAUUGUGCCACAUAUUUUUUCCAUGCUUAAGCUAUUCUCAUGUUAUUUUUCGAUUUCUAUUAACCCAUUUGUUAUACCAACAAGGUAAUCUAAAUCAUAAAUCUUUUCUUUUUUGCAGUAGGACAACAUUUAAUAUUUUUAAUCAGCCAAAGAAGCUAUGGCAAAGAACUCCUGUUAUGGAAAGAUAUAACAGAAAGAUAUGGAUAGAAGUUUUAUAGUUGAUAGGCAAUGGCUUCGACUGGAAAUAUUUAUAAGUAAGACUUUGAUCUUUAUGAAGUUACAUAAGGAAAUUUUUUAUGUUGCAAAGCAAUUGUACAUUAUCCUGUUUUUAAUAAAUAAAGGAAAGUUUUAAAGUGUGUAUUCCCAGUGAAAACCUU